UGUGUUGCCACUUUCUGGGAUGUGCGGUGA
rnacentral:piRNA from 1 species